GACGAACGCUGGCGGCGUGCCUAAUACAUGCAAGUAGAACGCUGAAGAGAGGAGCUUGCUCUUCUUGGAUGAGUUGCGAACGGGUGAGUAACGCGUAGGUAACCUGCCUUGUAGCGGGGUAUAAUUAUUGGAAACGAUAGCUAAUACCGCAUAACAAUGGAUGACACAUGUCAUUUAUUUGAAAGGGGCAAUUGCUCCACUACAAGACGGACCUGCGUUGUAUUAGCUAGUAGGUGAGGUAAUGGCUCACCUAGGCGACGAUACAUAGCCGACCUGAGAGGGUGAUCGGCCACACUGGGACUGAGACACGGCCCAGACUCCUACAGGAGGCAGCAGUAGGGAAUCUUCGGCAAUGGGGGCAACCCUGACCGAGCAACGCCGCGUGAGUGAAGAAGGUUUUCGGAUCGUAAAGCUCUGUUGUAAGUCAAGAACGGGUGUGAGAGUGGAAAGUUCACACUGUGACGGUAGCCUACCAGAAAGGGACGGCUAACUACGUG
rnacentral:rRNA from 1 species